rnacentral:rRNA from 1 species
CACGUAGGGGGCGAGCGUUGUCCGGAUUUAUUGGGCGUAAAGAGCUCGUAGGCGGUUUCGUUAGUCGGGUGUGAAAACUCUAGGCUCAACCUGGAGACGCCACCCGAUACUGCGAUGACUAGAGUCCGGUAGGGGAGUGUGGAAUUCCUGGUGUAGCGGUGAAAUGCGCAGAUAUCAGGAGGAACACCGGUGGCGAAGGCGGGUCUCUGGGCCGAUAUUGACGCUGAGGAGCGAAAGCGUGGGGAGCGAACAGG